GACCACCAAAGGCAACAGGAGAAAAAAGCUGUACGAGUGACACCACCGGGUAAACAAAUAGAUAAGAAAAUCAUGAAUCACACCAGAACCGGUAAGUAGGGUAUAGCACGAGAUGGGUACUAGUAGUAGGAGGGAUUAUGGGCCCAACAUCAAGAACCAGCACAUCAAGGUAAGGGGCCUAAGUUCCAGUCAUUAUAACUGCUGAUGAACUGUUG
rnacentral:misc_RNA from 1 species